rnacentral:lncRNA from 1 species
GUGAUUCUCCUGCCUCAGCCUCCCAAGUAGCUAUGAUUACAGAUGCACGCCACCACAUGCUUGGCUACUUUUUUUCGUUGUUGUUCAUUUGUUUUUUUUGAGACGGAGUCUUGCUCUGUCGUCCAGGCUGGAGUGCAGUGGCGUGAUCUCGGCUCACUACAACCUUCACCUCCUGGGUUCAAGCAGUUCUCUGCCUCAGCCUCCCAAGUAGCUGGGAUUAUAGACACCCGCCACCACGCCCAGCUAAUUUUUGUAUUUUUAGUAGUGAUGAGGUUUCACCAUCUUGGCCAGGCUGGUCUUGAUCUCCUGACCUCGUGAUCCACCCACCUCGGUCUCCCAAAGUGCUGGGAUUACAGGCAUGAACCACUGCGCCCAGCCUUUUUUUGUAUUUUUAGUAGAGACGGGGUUUCACCAUGUUGGCCAGGCUGGUCUCGAACUCCUGACCUCAAGUGAUCUGUCUGCUUUGGCCUCCCAGAGUGCUGGGAUUACAGGAGUAAGCCACUAUGUCCAGCCCCUACACAAAUUUUUUAAUUAGCUAGGCAUGGUGGCGCACACCUCUCUACAGUCCCAGCUACUCGGGAGGCUGAGGCAGGAGGAUCACUUGAGCCCAGGAGUUUGGGGUUGAAGUGAGUGCCACUGCAUUCCAGCCUGGGUGACAGAAGUAGACCCUGUCUCUAAAAAAAAUAAAUAAAAUAAAAUGUCUAUUCUGGUAUACCACUCAGCUCUGCUGAAUUAGACUCUCUAGAGCUGGGACCUGGGCAGUUCUCCUUUAACCACGUUCUCCAUGCAGAGGACUUCAAGGCACACUCAAGUUGGAGACCACAGGGCUUCAUUCUGUGUCCUCAUGUAACUCUUAAGAAAAUCAGGAGUCCAUUCCGAACCCUUGGGUGAACUGAAGGCAGGUGGAGAUCAGGGGACUUGGGGGAGGCAGUGAGGGUGGAGGGCAGGGGUCAAGCACCCAGGGCCUCAGGUCAUCUGUGUCCAUCCCCUGAGGCAGGCUCUGGGCAGCCCUCCCUGAGGAGGUAGCCCUGUCCCCAGGGCCCUGGAUGGUGAGGAUGACCCAGCCUUCGUAACCCUGCCCUCACACACAGCGCUCACUCCAAAGCUUGCUGGAAUCAUCUGAGGCUACCAGUGUCUACAGCACAUCGAGCUACCCUUAUGGAGCCUGGGACCAGCCCCAGGAAGCCAAUCUCAGCUCAGGAGCCAGGAUUUUAGUGCAAAGCUGCGCCCCCUUCUGUAAACCAUGGUUCUCCUGAGAAACAGCUCAUGCCUUUGGUAAGCUCCUGGGCCCUGGGGAGAUGGAACACCUGACUUGCGGCACCUGGGGACCAUGUGACCAGAGCUGAGCACUGUCUGACCUUGCCACAAAGUCAGGUGUGCCCAACGGUUUCUGUCAUCAAGGGGAGAAAGUACACGUGGGUGAGGGCUGAGCGCAGGCAUGUCCUGAAGCCCAGCUGAGCCUCUCAGCAGGCAGCUCCUUCCCCAGAGUCCCUUCUCCAGCUUCCCAAAGCCCCUGCGUCCGCCCAUACCUUGGGCACAGGUCCCUAAGACCAACUGAACACUCGAGCAUGAGCCAGGCAGACAGCCUGGGUGGAUGCCAGCAGAAAGAUUGGUGAAGACUGGAUCUCCUGGGCAGAAGCGGUGACAGGCACAUGGCGUCCAGUGUGAGGCUGGAGGCAUCAGGGAGCACAGGGAUGCAAGCCCCUCUACGUUCUCCCUUGUCAUGGCUGGGUGUGAGAAUGACCUUAGGCAAUGGGGUGGGGCAUGAAUAUUUUGAGCUUGUGCCAGCUGUGUGGUGGAGCGUGGGCCUGUACGGAGGCACUGCACUCCCAUCUCCCUCGGCUCCCAACUCCCUCCGUGGGAAGCUGAGUUCAGGCACUGCCCCUCCUGUAUGGACAGGGAGCCACUGGUCCCAGCUUGCUGGUUGCCAGGCAACCCAGGAUGAGCCUUCGAGGUCAUUCCUCAGACAACUCUGAGCUCUCUCCACAGCCUGGGAACAGAUGGUUCCGCAGCAGCCAGCCCCAGCCUGAAAUGAGUUGCGGAGGCACUGCUGCCUGUCUCCACCAGCAAGAGGGAGGAGAGGCCCUUCCCGUGCCUGCAGCAGUCCAGGGUAGAUGCAAGCAGAAAGACUGGUGAAGACUGGAGCUCCUGGGCAGAAGCACUGACAGGCACGUGGGGUCCUGUAUGAAGAGCUGCACUUUGUGUGAAAGGAAAGGUGGCCCAAGGUCUGGCUCUACUUCAGCCGGGGCAGUGGCUGGUGGUCUUGCCGGGUGGGCCAGUCUUGGGAGGGGGUGAUGGGGAAGUUGGUGAAACAGAGGCACUGGGUCAGCAACUAUGUGGUGGGACUCUCAGAAACGGCCCAGAUUACAAGAGAAUGCUUGACCCGAGUGACUGUUUACCAAAGCCCUCCCCCUCAAAAGAGGCUUUUAACAGUCAGGUGACACCUGUGGGUGUCACCAUCUUCCCUUUCUCUAUUAUUAGGACCUGGACAAAAUUCAAGAAGAUGUCCCAACCACAUGUAGCCUUACCUUUGAUACUUCCAAUUGCAAUGAGACUUAAAUUUUAGAAUAAGAGAUACACGCUGGGCGCGGUGGCUCACGUCUGUAAUCCCAGCACUUUGGUAGGCCAAGGCCGGUGGAUCACCUGAGGUCAGGAGUUUGAGACCAGCCUGGCUAACAUGGCAAAACCCCGUGUCUAGUAAAAAUACAAAAAUUAGCCGAGCGUGGUAGUGCACGCCUGUAAUCCCAGCUACUCAGGAGGUGGAUGCAGGAGAAUCGCUUGAACUCGGGAGGCGGAGGUUGCAGUGAGCCGAGAUUGCACCACUGCACUCCAGCCUGGGUGACAGAGCAAGACUUUCUCAAAAAAAUAAAAAAAUAAAAUAAUAAUAAUAAAAAGAGGAUACAGACCAUUUACAGGGUUUUUCCUGGUCCAUUAUCCUGCUCUAAUAAUGCCAAUCAACAUGUGAUCAUUAUUCCCUGGGGACAGAACUAGUCACCACUAGUUUGUGACUCUACCUCAUUUGAGGUGGCAUCCAGGGUGACAUCCCAGACUUCCUUACCUUACUUGAAGCACGAUGAGCCUUAAUUUUCGAAUAGAAAUGUUGACCAGCAAGCCAGCUUUUUUUUUUUUUUUUC